rnacentral:lncRNA from 1 species
AUUCUAAACCCCGGAAAUGUUUGUAGCUGUGAGAAAAAGAGAGCAGAUAGUGGAUGAGAUGGAGAGAGGAGAGAAAAACGAACCUCACACGCGGGCUUCUUUUAGCCACGGAAGCCGGUUUAAGUCCGUUCUAGUCGCGUUGCCGGAGUCCUUGGUUCGGUUUGUAAACCGGAAUGAUCCGUGGAUCGGUGGAGUUCACACGGCCGGCAUCCGAAAUCCGUGCUGGAGUUUGGAGCUGCCUCCUGGAAUAAUUAACCCCAAUUUACUGACCGACUGACGACGGGUUUGUGAGUACUGACAACAGUCAGUUUGUUUUUCAGUGGGAUUUGGGUUAAUAUAGUGAGCAAAGGACUCCUGUUGAUUUGUGUUGAACUGUGGAUGUGGGACUGAUGCAUUAAGCAGACUUUUUUUUUUUUUUUUUUUUGCUUAUGAAGUGUAUCUAUGUAUCACUAUCCUGCGGUCUUUACUGAAAUUGGUUUAACUAGAGAAGCAAGCGGUUGGCAACAUUAAUCUCUCGACAGGGUGUCUAACUCGAUGUUACAGUGUGUUUGACCCUGAAUUAAUUUUAUGCCGGAAUACACCUUUUUAAAAAUUUAACUAUACACAACCUUGUGGCUUGCCCAAAGUCAGAAGAUUUUUGUUUUUAUUUCCUUAAGCAGCAUCUUGUGUGGUCAUCAAACAAACAAACAGUCAAAAAAUGAAUAAUUUGCUCAUUUAUCCCAAAGUGUUUGCUUAUGUUUGGUUUUCUAUAGGGAAUGUAUUGCUUUUAUUACACAAGCACAGCUAUCAUUUCAUCCAUAUCCUCUUUCACCCAUUGUUGCCCUUUUGAUAUUUGUUCCCUUUUCAUUUGAGUUUUGGUUUCUUGAAAAAAAAAAAGUGUUGCUUCCUCCCAGCAGGCUGCAGAGUUGUGACAGCCAAGUCUGAGUGGCACUCCUGGUUUUGGCAGCAGCUAACACACAAGAGGCUGUGUUGAUGAGUUUAGACUGGGGGGGUCAUGUCAAAGUCAAAGCCUAGUUCUAAGCAAAGAGAGUUCACCCAUUUUGAGAUGUGAUGAAUUAUUACACUCACAUGCACAGAUACAAAGUCAUGAGUUUGGUUUGGCAAUAAAAUAAAAACUAGACAGUGUAACAGAAACUUAGAGAAGAGUAGAGUGAAACUUUACUCAAAGAGGACAGCAGGUGGAUCAACAACAAACAGGUGUAAAGGUCCUUACACACCGGGCGAGAAUUCGCCAGGCGAAUUAUUCGCCUUUUUUUAAAACAGCAUAAAGUCAAUGCAAGCUUCCACACCGGCUGCGAUUUUUCCGCGGGGCGAAAAGCCGCUUUUAUUUUUUCGCUCCUGUGUCGAAUUUUUCGGAUAUUUGCAGGCGAAUAUCUGAACCUGCUCGACCUCUGGCCAAUCAAAAGUCAUGUUGUUGAUGACAUCACAGACCCAUACGGCUGGAGGAGAGGGAGAAGUUUGAGAUUAUGAAAACGCAGACAAAGACAGCUGAGGUGCAUCCAAAACUCUUUCGAAUUACUAAUGAAGUAGUUUUCUCACAAGAUGACACUCUCUUGUCUUCCUUAGGAGACAGGUGUCAUGCACACUUCACAGGGUGACCGCCUGCGACUUUAUUAAUUCGCUUUGCAAAAAAUAUACGCAUAUUCGCUUUGCGGCCGGUGUGUAUAUGCGAAAGCGAUUUUUCGGACCGGCGAAUAUUCGCAAUUUUCGUCUCGCUUUUUCGCUUCACUCCGCAAAUUCGCCGGUGUGUAAGGACCUUUAGACUUGAAGGGCCUUGACACCACCAGAGCGUUGGAUUUGAGGCAGCAGUGGCUGUAAUGAAGCUGAGACAAUGAGACCAAUGAGCAGACUGAGCUGACCAGCUGCAGAGGAAAAAGCUGCAGGAGGAAAUAAGCACAGGCCCAGUGUCACUUCUUCACUUCAGUCUAACUUACACAUCUUUAUCUUCUACCUUUCUUUUCACGUUGUUGUGCUCUUAGUGAAGUCAUACAGGUGAAUUAAUGAUGCGCUCAUAACCAUAAAUAUUCAUGAUUUCUGAAAAACUUGCCAGAAAGGGAGCAAAACACUUCACAUGCACCAUUCCCACAAUCACAUUUAAGAUAUAUAUCCUCCUAAUUUAGCACUCAAUUUAUGCUGCAAGACUUGUGAUCUCUGCCUCUACUUUGCUAUUACCACCAUGCUGCUGCUGUUAAAAGCAUAAUCACACCAGCUCAUUCACUGCAAUGUUCCCUCUUAGUGGGAGAUAAGGUAUCAACAAGCAUUUGGUAAAAGUGAAUCUGACUGACUGUGAACAGCUAGGAUUAGUUCAGCCCUGAUGUCCAACCAUGUGCAUUACCCCACAAAAGCUUGGUUCCCUACUGGAGCCUGCAGCCAAAUGUCAAGCCAUGAAAAGCAUCCAAGUAAAUAAGAUAACUUCUAUUCUCUUUGGGUUUUAAAUUUCAGUCCCAGUCUUGUACCCAGUGUUGGUCAAGUUAACAUUUAGUGAUUUCUUCUCCAAGAAAGUAAUCCUGUUACUUUACUAAUCAUUCAAUGUCAAAAGUAAUUAGUUACUCUACUAAUUACUUUACUUAGUUAUUUUUCAAAAACAAUGAUGCACAACCUGAACUCCUAGACCUUUUAACCUAAUUCUAUUCUAUGGAAUAUUUUGCAUAUUCCAUCAUAUAAAAUUGUAUCAAAUUAAAAGUCACUUUUUCAAAACUUGUUUUAUUAGUUUCUAUUUUUUAACUGUAUGCACAUCGUAUCGAACAGUCUCUAAUUUGAAGAAAAUUGUUUAACAUUUUAACCCUCUUUCAACUCCUGUGCACUGACAGCAACUCCUUCUUCUGUUAACUUAUACACUCACCGGCCACUUUAUUAGGUACACCAUGCUAGUAACGGGUUGGACCCCCUUUUGCCUUCAGAACUGCCUCAAUUCUUCGUGGCAUAGAUUCAACAAGGUGCUGGAAGCAUUCCUCAGAGAGCUUGGUCCAUAUUGACAUGAUGGCAUCACACAGUUGCCGCAGAUUUGUCGGCUGCACAUCCAUGAUGCGAAUCUCCCGUUCCACCACAUCCCAAAGAUGCUCUAUUGGAUUGAGAUCUGGUGACUGUGGAGGCCAUUUGAGUACAGUGAACUCAUUGUCAUGUUCAAGAAACCAGUCUGAGAUGAUUCCAGCUUUAUGACAUGGCGCAUUAUCCUGCUGAAAGUAGCCAUCAGAAGUUGGGUACAUUGUGGUCAUAAAGGGAUGGACAUGGUCAGCAACAAUACUCAGGUAGGCUGUGGCGAUGCAACGAUGCUCAAUUGGUACCAAGGGGCCCAAAGAGUGCCAAGAAAAUAUUCCCCACACCAUGACACCACCAGCCUGAACCGUUGAUACAAGGCAGGAUGGAUCCAUGCUUUCAUGUUGUUGACGCCAAAUUCUGACCCUACCAUCCGAAUGUCGCAGCAGAAAUCGAGACUCAUCAGACCAGGCAACGUUUUUCCAAUCUUCUAUUGUCCAAUUUCGAUGAGCUUGUGCAAAUUGUAGCCUCAGUUUCCUGUUCUUAGCUGAAAGAAGUGGCACCCGGCGUGGUCUUCUGCUGCUGUAGCCCAUCUGCCUCAAAGUUCAACGUACUGUGCGUUCAGAGAUGCUCUUCUGCCUACCUUGGUUGUAACGGGUGGUUAUUUGAGUCACUGUUGCCUUUCUAUCAGCUCGAACCAGUCUGGCCAUUCUCCUCUGACCUCUGGCAUCAACAAGGCAUUUCCGCCCACAGAACUGCCGCUCACUGGAUAUUUUUUCUUUUUCGGACCAUUCUCUGUAAACCCUAGAGAUGGUUGUGCGUGAAAAUCCCAGUAGAUCAGCAGUUUCUGAAAUACUCAGACCAGCCCUUCUGGCACCAACAACCAUGCCAUGUUCAAAGUCACUCAAAUCACCUUUCUUCCCCAUACUGAUGCUCGGUUUGAACUGCAGGAGAUUGUCUUGACCAUGUCUACAUGCCUAAAUGCACUAAGUUGCCGCCAUGUGAUUGGCUGAUUAGAAAUUAAGUGUUAACGAGCAGUUGGACAGGUGUACCUAAUAAAGUGGCCGGUGAGUGUAUUUCCCUAUUCAGCGGCAAUAAGUAUUUUCACUUAUUUAGCAGGAGAGUGCCUGUGUCAGUCAUGUCAGUAGGGGGAUCAAAUUCCUGUGCUAGCUUGCUGGGUGCUUGCUCAGAUUCGAGGUAAAUUUUAUGCAGAGUGAACAGCGACAGUCUCACAAAACGCAAUCACGGUUUAGUAACGCAGCCUGUUUGUGGGAAAGUAACAGUAAUCUAAUUGCUGUUUUUACAAUUGUAAUCCCUUACUUUACUCAUUACUUGAAAAAAGUAACCGGAUUACAGUAACACGUUAUGCGUUACUGCCCAUCAGUGCUUGUACCUGAUCAUCACACUGCAAAACAAGUUGAUCUCAUGCAAAACAAUCAUGUUCUCCAGUGCGUGUACUUUAUAUUGUCUGUAUGAUUGCAGUCCGUGAACUGACCAUUUUUUCAGAAAAAUAUAAAACAGUGUUAAACUAGAUUGUAUUUGUUGUCCUCAUCUUACAUUAGUUUCACUCUGUGUCCAUCUGGAUCAACUAGGCUUUGAGUCUGUUCACUGUAAAAGUCUGUGCUGUCCUUACUUUAACCUCCCCUAACAGCAUCAAUCUGCAGAGACACAUCUAUGGACUGAUUCUGCUCAAUGAGCUGUCUGACCAACAUCAGUCAUUCCCAUAGAGACCUGCCACUAUUUUACUGUAACAUUCAUCUCCCUAAUGUGAGAAUUACACUAUUAAGAUGAUCUGUAUAUCAACCAGUCUUCAUUAUAACCAUUAAUAACUCCACAGCUGCUCUCACAGUCUCCUCACAUUCUCACCUUUUGUAACUUUCUAAUAUCAGAUCCUCCCUCAUCUGCAUCUCUCCCUCUAUGUCUCUCUCUCUCCCCCUUUCCUGGACAUCUUUCUGUCCAAAGCAAAUGGCGCACUAUACUCUCGCUCUUGAAAGAGUCACACAGGAAGGAGAGAAAUGACAGCACACACGUCAAUCAGCUGGAAGUGUGCAGUCCUUUAUUUCUUUACUGCUCUCUCAAUCAUGUUUUAAUCUUGAAUAUUUAGAGCUGAAACUCAACCUCUCUCUCUCUCUCUCUCUCCUGAGAAAGAGGAAAAGAAUUAAAUCUAAUACUUAGAAAUUUGAUAAGAUGGCAGGCUUUGAGCUUCACCGUCAGUGGAGGAAUCAGCAGAGAGCAGGCUGAAGAUUUGAAGGCAAAUAAACAAGUUUCUAUGUUUUAAUUUGCUUUUCUUCCUCCCUUUGGGUCCGCCUCUGUCUCCGAAACUCGUCUUUAAUUUGCUUCUCUUCCUUUUCUGUCCUCAAAUUCUGAAUCUCACCAGCUCUUAUGCUCUUUCAUUGUCUGUCUUUGCACUUUUGUUUCAAUUAGAUACUCAUUGUAUAAUCCAUCAUAUGUACAUUUUUGUAUGUAGUGUCUAGUUUGUGUUUUAAAACCAUUGUCUUUGUUGUAGCCACCACAAGCCUCCUUGCACACACACAAAUUCUGGGCCAGCUGCCUGACCCAGUCACAGUCUACUGUGAAAGUAUGUUAACUUUAUUGCUGUAUGUAUAUUUUGUGUGUAGUUGUCUAUCUCCUUGACCCCAAUCUUGACAAUCUUGUCCCCAUUCCUGUAAAUACAAUCCUCCAUCUACCCCAAGCUGAACUAAUGACUGAUGUUCAUACAAUGUAGCAGCUGCAAUGUGGGAAAAUGUCCCACAGUGAAAGAGAAAGUCAGCAGGGACAGAAGUUGAUUUUGUUUCCAUAGGACCAAAAGCAAAAAUCAGUCCACCUAAUGUGAGUCUACUUUUCUCUGUUUGGAAACAUACCGUUCUAGAUGAACCAAUUAAAAGUGUAAAGCAGUCAGUCUAACUGUUAAAGUGAGGAAACAAAAUCAACAUUUUCUUUAUCAUUUGGUUGGUUUAUUCAUUGAACCAGGACACCUCAAAGUCAGAUAAUUCUAUGUCAGCAUCAUGGAGAUCCAGAGGCUUAAUUUUGGAAUAAUUAUGUAAUAUUCAUUUAGUUAGUUCAGUUUUUACCUUAUCUUGUUAAUGUAUCUCUGUGAUGUGAGAUGCAAAAUCUACAAAAACCCUUAUAUAAUACCCUUAAUAAUAUUUACUUUGGAUGCUAGGGGUGGGAAUCACAAGAGGCCCCACGAUUCAAAACUAUUGCAAUACUUAAUGUUUUGUAAUAUAGUGAGUCUCGCAAUACUCCUUUUUGUUUUUUGUUGUACCAACUAUCUCCUGCUCUAUGAUGUUACCUCUGCCAACCUCACUGGACAAACAGUUGAUAUUCUUUUUCCAUUUUCAUUCAUUUGACUUCAUAUUAGCAAUUAAUUUGAAAAAAUCUGAGCGGACAGGACUUGAGACCGUGGUUCAAAUAAAAGAAGGCCACAGUCCAGUUUUAUGAGCAGUCUGAGAAGUACAUGUAGACACCUAAUUAAUUAAAAUACGAUAAAAGAGCUCAUUUUGUUGAGUGUUGUGUUAAUGUGUGUAUAUACCUAAUAUGACUAAUGAAGAUUUAGUUUUUAAAAUGUAUUCAGUGUCAUAACCCUUUUUUUAAUGUUAGGAGUUAUUAUCCCAAUAGCUCUUGUAUACAACACAGCUGUAAAGUUAGCCAGUAUAACAUCCCUCAAGCUUUGUCCGCCUGUCCCCCUGUAGCCAGCAUGCCUUUGCCUGAUUGUUGGCCUGUCAUUACAGUAAGCAUCCGUUAGGCUAACUUCAAGAAAAUGCUUCCAAGCAAAUGAGCCACAUAUAUCUAUCCUGUUGUACAUACGUCACUCUAGAUUUUUAUAGACAAGUUGCUGAUGAGGUAGCCUUCCCAUGAACCUGUGAAUUCAUUGCAUUGUGAAAAAUAACGUCAUUGUACUUCGAAGCAAUGUUCGUCAUCAUUUAGUGAACAAACGAGGGCUUAAGAGGACGACAAGCACUCACACCCUCAAUGUUGUAUAAAGGUUUCAAGGUCUUUUUUUUUUCAUAUGAUCAUUUAGAAAGGCUUUCAUAAUGGGAUCCUUCCUCUCUUUUUUUUAAACUGCCUCUCUGCCUGCAUACUAAAGCAGGCCCCCAGCUUUAGUAUGCUUUAAUACAAACAUUAGAGUUGAAAUGGGGAGUUUGCAGUCCCACAGCUAACCUAGAGUCAGAUGAGGGUGAAAGAAAAGAAAGAUGAGGGAUGAGAUGAUGGAUGAGAAGGAUUUGUGUAUUUUCUCUUACCCCACCCUUCUUAUCUUACUCCUUCAGACCCUGAACACACAUGGAGGAAGUUCCAUGGCCAGAGUCACAGGUACUUCAGCCAGAGAUACACCUAAAAGGAUGCAGAGAAGAACUUUAGGGAGCACAGCAGACACCUGGCCAACAUCCACAGCCGGGCUGAACAGAACUUCAGGGAUGGGCAGAUGUUCAGGAGAGAAAUACUGAGUAUGGAUGAUGUAAGCUAUGCAAGUUUUGGUGUUUUUGUCUGAACCAAUUAAACAGAAGAAAUUUUCCAAAAAUAACUUUGAUUCGUGUUCUGAACUAUUUUAAAAGCACCUGUUAAUUCUUAAGUAAACAAACUAUACCAGCAGCUUCAUAAGGCUGUGCUAGGACUGAAAACUUCAAACUUUAAGCAACACAGCAGUAGAAAAAUGUAAGCCGUAUUUAAAAACUAAUUUUAUAAUGAGAGCAGGCUUACAUGUGUUAUAAUGGACCUUAAAUUCAUAACCUUACGGACAGGAUGGCAUCAUUGAUGGUAUAAGAGAGAUCCAGACGAUAUAACUGUCUUUCAAAUAUUCUGCUGUUCUGUUACGCACUUUUUACUGAUUGAUGUCUAGUCACCUAUAUCUCAAUCUAUAUCUUGUCAUAUUUAUAUUCAUACUUGUAAAUGGAAGCACUCAUCUUUUGUGUAUUUUAUAACUGUGAUAAAUGCUUGCCUUACUCUGCUCUGAAGGCCUCUAAAGAAGUUUAUUGUGUUCCCUGCUGAAAACUCCCACAAGCAUGGAGCCUGUUCAGCUAAAUAAAUGUGUAUAACCAUCUAUAACAAUAAAGUGUAGUAUCUGACUAGAUCGUCUUUGACAGGGUAUUUAAUAUCCUGUAACAUUUGUCUGGGAUGUGAUUUGUCCUUAAACUGGUGAAUGAACUCCGUAUGUGCGCUGUGGAGGAAAUGCAAACAUUGAUAACUGGAUUAACUAAAACUACUUCAAGACGAGAAACUGCACUUGAUUUUUUUGUAGUUUUCUGUGUGAAAAACUUUUGAUGUCA